AAGAUCAUAUUUUCAGGAUCAUUUCUAUAGUCUUUGACUUGAGAAAUAUCGUAGGAAAGUGAUCCGUUACUCUAACCACGAUGAAGAGAACUGAUGUUCCCUUCUGAGCGCAGCGGCAGUGAGUGAUGAUGCAUUUCAUCCGCUCCUUGCCAUUGAUGACUGUUCCAUGCUCUCUAGUGGAGCCUGGAGGUAGGGAUCAUGAUCAGAGUGGU
ensembl:snoRNA U3 Small nucleolar RNA U3